UAUCAAUAAGCGGUGGAAAAGAAACCAACAGGGACUGCCCCAGUAACGGCGAGUGAAGCGGCAACAGCUCAAAUUUGAAAUCUGGCCCCCGGGCCCGAGUUGUAAUUUAUAGAGGAUGCUUCGGGCGAGGUGCCUUCCGAGUUCCCUGGAACGGGACGCCAUAGAGGGUGAGAGCCCCGUCUGGUCGGACACCGAGCCCGUGUGAAGCUCCUUCGAAGAGUCGAGUAGUUUGGGAAUGCUGCUCAAAAUGGGAGGUAUAUGUCUUCUAAAGCUAAAUAUUGGCCAGAGACCGAUAGCGCACAAGUAGAGUGAUCGAAAGAUGAAAAGCACUUUGAAAAGAGGGUUAAAAAGUACGUGAAAUUGUUGAAAGGGAAGCGCCCACGACCAGACUUGGGCCCGGUGAAUCACCCGGCGUUCUCGCCAGUGCACUUUGCCGGGCACAGGCCAGCAUCAGUUUAGCGCGGGGGAUAAAGGCCUCGGGAAAGUGGCUCCCUCGGGAGUGUUAUAGCCCGUCGCGCAAUACCCUGCGCCGGACUGAGGUACGCGCAUCGCAAGGAUGCUGGCGUAAUGGUCGUCAGCGACCCGUCUUGAAACACGGACCAAGGAGUCGUCUUCGUAUGCGAGUGUUCGGGUGUCAAACCCCUACGCGGAAUGAAAGUGAACGCAGGUGAGAGCUACGGCGCAUCAUCGACCGAUCCUGAUGUUCUCGGACGGAUUUGAGUAGGAGCAUACGGGGCCGGACCCGAAAGAAGGUGAACUAUGCCUGUAUAGGGUGAAGCCAGAGGAAACUCUGGUGGAAGCUCGCAGCGGUUCUGACGUGCGAAUCGAUCGUCAAAUAUGGGCAUGGGGGCGAAAGACUAAUCGAACCUUCUAGUAGCUGGUUUC
rnacentral:rRNA from 1 species